UCCACACUCUUUGAUUACGAGGACAACCAACUCAUAUAGCACACAAUGACUUAUACUUAAUAAACGUCAUUGUCCUAGUUAUAACGAAUCAUUUGGUCACGAACUAGAUUUAAGAACUAUUCGAUAAAUCCUCCUUUAUUGAUAAUUAAUAGCUCUAAGGACAUUAUCAUAAAAAGAGUUCUAAAAGUAGAUGCAAAAUUAUGAUGAGCUUGCCACAAAAUAAUUUUUAUUAAUAUAAUUC
rnacentral:lncRNA from 1 species